rnacentral:rRNA from 1 species
AGUGAACGCUGGCGGUAGGCCUAACACAUGCAAGUCGAACGGCAGCACAGUAAGAGCUUGCUCUUACGGGUGGCGAGUGGCGGACGGGUGAGGAAUACAUCGGAAUCUACUUUUUCGUGGGGGAUAACGUAGGGAAACUUACGCUAAUACCGCAUACGCCCUACGGGUGAAAGCAGUGGAUCUUCUGACCUUGCGCGAUUGAAUGAGCCGAUGUCGGAUUAGCUAGUUGGCGGGGUAAAGGCCCACCAAGGCGACGAUCCGUAGCUGGUCUGAGAGGAUGGUCGGCCACACGAGAACUGAGACACGGUCCAGACUCCUACGGGAGGCAGCAGUGGGGAAUAUUGGACAAUGGGCGCAAGCAUGAUCCAGCCAUACCGAGUGGGUGAAGAAGGCCUUCGGGUUGUAAAGCCCUUUUGUUGGGAAAGAAAAGCAGCAGGUUAAUACCACGCUGUUCUGACGGUACCCAAAGAAUAAGCACCGGCUAACUUCGUG